UUUGUCAAACUCAGCCAGGAAUGAACAUAGCCUGAAGGUGCAGGGCAAGUGUGUACACGAGCUAUGUGCGCAGGCCUUGGGACAGGAGACAUAAUUUCAAGGGCAAAUGGAUGUCUGGGAGCAAAAAGGAAAAGAGAGGCAGCCUGAGCCAGAAAGAGCCAUGAACAAUGGGGUAACUGGGAAGUGCCUGGGGAAAUUGUAUUUGCUAUUUCCUGAAGUAAAAGAAAACUAGGUGGGGGAAAAUAGAUUUAUAUCAGCUCCUGAACUGUUUUAUGGGAGAGUUCCCUAGGAAGAUUCUUUUUCCCCUCCGAACAGUUCCGCCUGCGCACCCUCCCAGGGUUUUCUCAUUGCUGUCCUAACAAGAGUGUGCAUAUCCUGACGCUCCUGCAGUGAAAAGCUCUCUCCUCCCUGCAGCAGCAGCUAGGUCUCCUAUCCCUCCUUUGUUACAAAUUCUCUGCCAGCAAGAAAAAAGAUUCUUUCUAGAAACUGCAAAAUAGCAAAGAGAUGGAAAUAGAGUGGGGAGGAAGCAGGGGGAGAGAGACAAACAGAGACAGAGAGAAGGAGAAGGUGGCGGAAGAAAACGGUGCAGGAAGAGGAAGCAGGAAGCCCAGCGUGUGGCAGCGCCUGGGUCUCCUGCUGCCUCUCCUCCGGGCUGGCCUUCCCGGGAGCAGCCGCUGGGUGCCAGCCCGCGGCGGGGGCUGCUGCGCCGCAGCUCCUGUCCUUCAGGCCCCCUUCACCAGUGUGCUGCAGUGAUGAAGUAGAGCUGCCCUGUCAGACCUCAUCAGCAGUCCUGUGAAGGCAGAAUGAAAUCACUGCUAUUGACCCCCUGGCAUAUUUAUAGGCUCUCUCUUUCUGCUGAGGCUGGUGGUUAUCACCUCCGUGUCCCCGAGUUGUGUUUAUUCAGCAACACGCUAAAUCACACCCGCUUGCAAGCAGGCGCUCAUCAGGAACACGAGCCUCUCUUUCAGGCUGCCAAACCUAUCUAAUUACUGGGGCUGGAAGGACCCGCAAAAAAAAAAAAAAAAAAACCUUCUUCCCGAGAAAUAUCUCAUGAAGACACAGAAGGACAGCAGGAAAAACAAGGGCUUGGGCGCCGAAAAGACCUGGGCCUGAAUCCCAGCUUUCCCUCAGAAACCUGCCCAAAGGAAUGGUUCCAGAGAAUGUGGAAUUCAACACAGGAUGCCAAGUGUGUGACCCAGAGACCCAGCGGAAAUGCACAGGGGUUUGCUUCCCCUUUCCUUCCUCCUCUUUCCCUCUAACCCAUUGCAGCUUUGAAAAUAGCACUCACUUAUUAUACUCCACAGAUGUUGUCAAAAUUAGCAAUAAUCACCUCUGGUUUUAUUCAUUACAUCCAUGGAAGAAAGAGAACUAGUGAAAAUAAAUAAAUAAAUGUCAGCUUUUAAUGUUCA